rnacentral:tRNA from 1 species
GCCUGGAUGGCUCAGUUGCUAAGCAUCUGACUUUGGCUCAGGUCAUGAUCUUGUGGUUUGUGGGUUCAAGCCCUGCGUCAGGCU